AUACUCCAUACCUUCCUGGCGAAGGCAAAACAAUCUCGUCAUAGCUCUUUCUAGCUUCUUUGAAUCGGUUAUCAGUUUGCUCGCGUUUCGAUCUAAUCCAUACUUCUUGGUCUUCUAAAGUACAUAGAUAGAUAGAGAGAGAUGCAUCUAUGGCCUUCUCUGAGGAUCCGAGAUUCAUUCAAGUUGGAUUACUUGAAGAAACUCGAAUGGAAUAUCCAGAGAAUGAAAAGGGAGAAGGAAUCUUCAGGUAAUCAGAAAUUACUUGAUAAUGAAAAAGAAGAUGGUGAUGGGAAAGCACAAUUAGAAUCUCACCCAAAGUUUUUUGGGGUCCUUGGGCUUUGCCAGGAGUUCGUGAUGAUCUUGUCAUGCUGUUACUGUUGUUUCUGCUGUGGAGCAUGCGUUGGUCAGGAAGAGAACUAAUGCUGUGAUUGGGAGGAAUGUUCAUCCUGGAAUCCAUUCUUACAACGUGGGAGGUUGUACCAUAUUCUGUACAGUUCUGGUUACUUUUGUGAUCUUGAAUGCCUUGAUAUUUUGAACUUUGAAAUACCUGGUGUCUAACAAGACAAUGUAGAUUUAAAAAAUAAAAAGCAAUGUAACUUAGUUCAAUUACU